AGUAACAAGAGGUUGCUUAAAACUAUAUAUAGUAGUGAUUAGAGGGACUAACAUGAGACAUAUAUAUAUAUAGAUAUAAUUUAAAAUAUAAUAAUAAUAAAACAAAAUUUUCUAAUGGCUUUAUUUUAUCUCCAUAAGUUCUCAUAAAAUUCAUUAUAAAUUGAUACAAAAACUUAAUGUUUGUUACUUAAAAUAAAAGAGAAAAACAUGACUGCAAAUGUCUUGUUUGUAUAUGUUAUGAUCAUAUUGAUUUCUCUAUUUUUUAUUUUGAGUGGUGUAAGUGCUGGAAAGGGUUAUCGUUGCAAAGAAGACGAAGAUUGUCCUAUUCCUUGGUGUAGGCCUUUGUUAUCCGUUUGUACUAAUCAUCAAUGUAUCUGCAUGGAAGUUUAAGAGUUAAGUUGAAAAUUAAUGUUAUGUUACUCCUAAGUUUAUAGUAAAUCUCAUGAUUACUUUCAUUUUGAUUUA